AAAAGUUAUAACUCUAGGUUAACCAAAAAUCUAAGCAGUAAAAACCUUUAAGAAAAAAAACACUCGUCUUUUGUCAGUAAGCUUAUUAGAAGACUUCUUUAACCGAUAGAAACAGUACCGCAAGGGAAAGAUGAAAUAACUAUAAAAAGUAAACCCAAAACAGGAAAGAUAACCCCUUUUACCUCGUGUAUAAUGGAUUAACGAGCAUAAAAGAAAAGAUAUUCUAAUCCCGAAACUGGAUGAGCUAGCCUUUCCUUCUUUCAAGAAGAACUAAACCACUGUUGCAAUAGUGGGAAAAAAGGAAAGGCUAGAUGUGAAAUGCUUAUCGCGUCUAGAAAUAGCUGGUUUCCCAAGAAAUUAGUCUUAGCUAAGCCCCUACAAGAAAAAUAGAACUACUUUAAAGGUAUAAAAAUAGAUUUAAAAUUUUUAAAGAGGGGUUAGGGCUUUAGGGACAAGCUUAGAGCCCAAAAUGGAAAGAUCCAAUACUAAUAGCCAAAGACAACAAUCUUAAAAAAUAGUCAUCAAUUAAAGAGUAGGCCUAGAAGCAGCCACCUAACAAGAAAGCGUUAAAGCUCAACUAUUUCCUAUGACUAAAAAAUUCCUGAAAGUUUUCUCUGAGGCUACAGUAACUUAUUGGGGCAUUCUUCAUCAAGAAAGGACAAUGUUAAUAUUAGUAAGAGACCUUCACCUGUGCCAUAUACGACCUUAACCCUGGAAGAAAUAAACACUGUAACUAGAAACCUUGUUUUAAUAGUCGUCUUCCAACCCAGGAGAAGAACAAUAAACGAAAGUGGAAAAAAGGAACUCGGCAAACUUAGGCUUCGCCUGUUUACCAAAAACAUCGCUCCCUGAACCUAUAAUAUAGGGGGUCCUGCCUGCCCAGUGACUAGAAGUUAAACGGCCGCGGUAUCUUGACCGUGCGAAGGUAGCAUAAUCAUUUGUCUCCUAAAUAGAGACUAGUAUGAAUGGCAAGACGGAGCCAAACUGUCUCUUUUCCAUAAUUCUGAAUUUCACUCCCCCGUGAAGAGGCGGGGAUAAAAUCGCUAGACGAGAAGACCCUGUCGAGCUUACAGCAAAACUCAAACUCUUAUUAUACUUUAUUCUUUACUAAUACGUGACAUUAUAAGGAAGCAAAGCCUCUAGGAGAUUAGAGAAAGCUUUGGUUGGGGCAAUCACGGAGUAAAAUAACCCUCCGCUAAUACAGAAAACUAUACUAAGAACCACAAUUCUAAAAUCAACAAUGAAAGUAUGAUCCACUAAGGUGAUCAAAGGAACAAGUUACCGCAGGGAUAACAGCGUUAUCUUUUCUGAGAGUUCACAUUGACGAAAAGGUUUGCGACCUCGAUGUUGGAUCGGGACAUCCUAAGGGUGCAGAAGCUUUUAAGGGUUGGUCUGUUCGACCAUUAAAGUCCUACGUGAUCUGAGUUCAGACCGGCGAGAGCCAGGUCAGUUUCUAUCUACGAUAAACAUCUUUCUUAGUACGAAAGGACCAGAAAGAAAGUGUCUAUGCAAGAUGUAAGCACUUCAAAUUAAAAAC
rnacentral:rRNA from 1 species